rnacentral:rRNA from 1 species
UACGGAGGGUGCAAGCGUUAUCCGGAUUCACUGGGUUUAAAGGGUGCGUAGGUGGGCAGGUAAGUCAGUGGUGAAAUCUCCGGGCUUAACCCGGAAACUGCCAUUGAUACUAUCUGUCUUGAAUACCGUGGAGGUGAGCGGAAUAUGUCAUGUAGCGGUGAAAUGCUUAGAUAUGACAUAGAACACCAAUUGCGAAGGCAGCUCACUACGCGAAUAUUGACACUGAGGCACGAAAGCGUGGUGAUCAAACAGG